ACUCCUACGGGAGGCAGCAGUAGGGAAUCUUCCACAAUGGGCGCAAGCCUGAUGGAGCAACACCGCGUGAGUGAAGAAGGGUUUCGGCUCGUAAAGCUCUGUUGUUAAAGAAGAACACGUAUGAGAGUAACUGUUCAUACGUUGACGGUAUUUAACCAGAAAGUCACGGCUAACUACGUGCCAGCAGCCGCGGCAAUACGUAGGUGGCAAGCGUUAUCCGGAUUUAUUGGGCGUAAAGAGAGUGCAGGCGGUUUUCUAAGUCUGAUGUGAAAGCCUUCGGCUUAACCGGAGAAGUGCAUCGGAAACUGGAUAACUUGAGUGCAGAAGAGGGUAGUGGAACUCCAUGUGUAGCGGUGGAAUGCGUAGAUAUAUGGAAGAACACCAGUGGCGAAGGCGGCUACCUGGUCUGCAACUGACGCUGAGACUCGAAAGCAUGGGUAGCGAACAGGAUUAGA
rnacentral:rRNA from 1 species